UACGAAGGGAGCUAGCGUUGUUCGGAAUUACUGGGCGUAAAGGGCGCGUAGGCGGUACUAUAAGUCAGAUGUGAAAGCCCCGGGCUUAACCUGGGAUGUGCAUUUGAAACUGUGGAACUAGAGAUCGAGAGAGGAAAGUGGAAUUACGAGUGUAGAGGUGAAAUUCGUAGAUAUUCGUAAGAACACCAGUGGCGAAGGCGGCUUUCUGGCUCGAUACUGACGCUAAGGCGCGAAAGCGUGGGGAGCAAACAGG
rnacentral:rRNA from 1 species